rnacentral:lncRNA from 1 species
CACUAUUUCUUCGAAUCUCCCACACUCCUCGGGUGGAGAAAUAGAAAUCUAUACGCGAUCGAUUUCUAGUGGGUACUAUAGUCUCACUGAUCCAUACACACCUCACCUAAUAGUUAUUGAUGAGCACAGACCAAUGAGUGGACAAUACCUUGUCCAUUGCUUCACUAAGCAUGAUGCAGUGGGCUCAGUCUCUAAGUUCUAUGGCCUCACCUAACAGUUAUUGGUAUAUUUCUUAGUUAAGUC